rnacentral:rRNA from 1 species
AUAUUAAUAAGCGGAGGAAAAGAAACUAACUAGGAUUCCCAUAGUAAUGGCGAACGAAGUGGGAAAAGCUCAAUGUUGGAAUCCUUCGGGAAUUGUAGUUUAUCGAGGUGUUUUUAAAGUUUGUAAUGCGUGACAAGUUCCUUGGAAAAGGACAUGAUACAGGGUGACAAUCCCGUAGUCGCGCAUUUACUUUCCUUACAAGGCACUUUCGGAGAGUCGAGUUGUUUGGGAAUGCAGCUCAAAGUGGGUGGUAGGCAUCAUCUAAAGCUAAAUAUUGACACGAGACCGAUAGCGCACAAGUA